rnacentral:rRNA from 1 species
AGUGAACGCUGGCGGUAGGCCUAACACAUGCGAGUCGAACGGCAGCACAGUAAGAGCUUGCUCUUACGGGUGGCGAGUGGCGGACGGGUGAGGAAUACAUCGGAAUCUACUUUUUCGUGGGGGAUAACGUAGAGAAACUUACGCUAAUACCGCAUACUACCUACGGCUGAAAGCAGGAGAGCUUCGCACCUUGCCCGUCAGAAUGAGACGAUGUCGGAUUAGCUAGUUGGCGGGGUAAAGGCCCACCAAGGCGACGAUCCGUAGCUGAUCUGAGAGGAUGAUCGGCCACACUGGAACUGAGACACGGUCCAGACUCCUACGGGAGGCAGCAGUGGGGAAUAUUGGGCAAUGGGCGAAAGCCUGAUCCAGCAAUACCGCGUGGGUGAAGAAGGCCUUCGGGUCGUAAAGCCCUUUUGUUGGGAAAGAAAAGCAGCAGGUUAAUACCCCGCUGUUCUGACGGUACCCAAAGAAUAAGCACCGGCUAACUUCGUG